rnacentral:misc_RNA from 1 species
GAUGAAGAACGUAGCGAAAUGCGAUAAGUAAUGUGAAUUGCAGAAUUCAGUGAAUCAUCGAAUCUUUGAACGCACAUUGCGCCCGCCAGUAUUCUGGCGGGCAUGCCUGUCCGAGCGUCAUUUCAACCAUCAAGCCCCGGGCUUGUGUUGGGGACCUGCGUCCGACGCAGGCCCUGAAAACCAGUGGCGGGCUCGCUGUCCACACCGAGCGUAGUAACUAACCUCGCUAUGGAGUGGCGCGGGCGCCUGCCGUAAAACCCCCAAUUUCACAAGGUUGACCUCGUAUCAGGUAGGAAUACCCGCUGAACUUAAGCAUAUCAAUAAGCGGAGGA